rnacentral:rRNA from 1 species
AAGCUUUGCUAAUACCGCAUACGAUCUCAGGAUGAAAGCAGGGGACCGCAAGGCCUUGUGCUCCUGGAGCGGCCGAUGGCAGAUUAGGUAGUUGGUGGGAUAAAAGCUUACCAAGCCGACGAUCUGUAGCUGGUCUGAGAGGACGACCAGCCACACUGGGACUGAGACACGGCCCAGACUCCUACGGGAGGCAGCAGUGGGGAAUUUUGGACAAUGGGCGCAAGCCUGAUCCAGCAAUGCCGCGUGCAGGAUGAAGGCCUUCGGGUUGUAAACUGCUUUUGUACGGAACGAAAAGGCUCUGGUUAAUACCUGGGGCUCAUGACGGUACCGUAAGAAUAAGCACCGGCUAACUACGUGCCAGCAGCCGCGGUAAUACGUAGGGUGCGAGCGUUAAUCGGAAUUACUGGGCGUAAAGCGUGCGCAGGCGGUUAUGUAAGACAGAGGUGAAAUCCCCGGGCUCAACCUGGGAACUGCCUUUGUGACUGCAUAGCUAGAGUACGGCAGAGGGGGAUGGAAUUCCGCGUGUAGCAGUGAAAUGCGUAGAUAUGCGGAGGAACACCGAUGGCGAAGGCAAUCCCCUGGGCCUGUA